UCGGAUGUGAAAUCCCCGGGCUCAACCUGGGAACUGCAUUCGAAACUGGCAGGCUUGAGUCUUGUAGAGGGGGGUAGAAUUCCAGGUGUAGCGGUGAAAUGCGUAGAGAUCUGGAGGAAUACCGGUGGCGAAGGCGGCCCCCUGGACAAAGACUGACGCUCAGGUGCGAAAGCGUGGGGAGCAAACAGGAUUAGAUACCCUGGUAGUCCACGCCGUAAACGAUGUCUACUUGGAGGUUGUGCCCUUGAGGCGUGGCUUCCGGAGCUAACGCGUUAAGUAGACCGCCUGGGGAGUACGGCCGCAAGGUUAAAACUCAAAUGAAUUGACGGGGGCCCGCACAAGCGGUGGAGCAUGUGGUUUAAUUCGAUGCAACGCGAAGAACC
rnacentral:rRNA from 2 species